rnacentral:rRNA from 1 species
GAUGAACGCUGGCGGUAUGCUUAACACAUGCAAGUCGAACGGACUCUUCGGAGUUAGUGGCGGACGGGUGAGUAACGCGUGAGAAUCUGGCUUUGGGUUCGGGACAACCACUGGAAACGGUGGCUAAUACCGGAUGUGCCGAGAGGUAAAAGAGAAAUUGCCUGAAGAUGAGCUCGCGUCUGAUUAGCUAGUUGGUGAGGUAAAGGCUCACCAAGGCAGCGAUCAGUAGCUGGUCUGAGAGGAUGACCAGCCACACUGGGACUGAGACACGGCCCAGACUCCUACGGGAGGCAGCAGUGGGGAAUUUUCCGAAAUGGGAGAAAGACUGACGGAGCAAUACCGCGUGAGGGAAGAAGGAUCUUGGGUUGUAAAACUAUUUUCUUAGGGAAGAACAAAAUGACGGUACCUAAGGAAUCAGCAUCGGCUAACUACGUG